ensembl:lncRNA
UUUUUUUUUUUUCACUUUUUUUUUUUAAACAAUACUUUAAAACUGAAUUGUAUUUAAAUAAACUGUAUUUCAACACACACGUGAGUGUUACAAACCCUCUCAAAAUAGCAAAAAUCAACAGCAAAAAAAAAAAAAAGAGUACUAAUUUCUGUACCAGUUGUGUUUUGGUUUAAUGCCCAAGGCUGGGCACAGCAUCUUGUCUCACAUUCAUCAGCGUCGAAACCGUAACGAAAGGACUGUAAAACUGAACUUCUGUCCAGCAAACUGUUUCAUUCCUUUCUUCAGAGCUUUCUUUGGGAUCGUUUCCUUUGUGUCGAGUUAAGGCUGAUGUUUCUUAAAGUGGCUUAUGUGUACUUUUAGGUAACGGUUUUAAGUGGCAAAGUCUGGUUUUAGAGUAAGUUCAACUUCAGAAGUCUCGAGUACCUUAAAGCAGCGCGAGUGUUUGAUGAGCCAACAGCAAUUCCCAAGCUUUCCCUACACCCAGCGGGCUGUGGCUCUGGAUCCGUGAGCAAAUGCUGUCCACUUUAAAGUACCAGGAACCACCAAAGUUGAUAAGUCUGAACAGAGCACUUUAGUUCUGUAAAAUAACCCUUACAUCUGUUUUCAAAAGGCACAAAUCCAUCUUUUUACCCCCCAAAAGCAAGGCAGCUUGUUUUAGAAUUGUAGUUCCGGCUUCACUGGCUGAAAGAACCAGUUCUUAAAACCUAUUUUUAUACAUUGAAAGAUGGGGAUUUCAAAGAAAGCUAUUUAUUCCUGUCUGUGUCCUAGAAGGAUCAAAAGAAUUAGUUUUCAAAUGGAUUUCACUGUGGAAUAGAAGUGAUUUUUAAACCUAAGGAGGAAGGGAAUCCCGAGUCCUCUCCUGCAGGGGCACAGAGAAGUUAGUGCCGAGUCUUCCCCUUGGGAGGAGCGAGCGCCGCGCGGUGCCAUCUCAGAAGCGAUUCCAUUUGGGAGUGUUGGUGGUGGAAAUACUGGAAAUAGGAUGGAAUUUCCAGCAAGCUCCUCCUCGCGCUGGCAGUCUGCAAGUGAAGCGUUAAUAAAUAGGCCAGGCUCGAUGCCCAGCAGCGGGAGGGCAAAGAGGGAAGCCUCGCUCUAGGAAGCGGGGUAUGGAUCAGAGCGCUCUGCGAGACCUCUCCUUCAGAGCACAUUGCACUCCCCUCUUAGUGGAACCUUUUCAUAUCACGGUCAGUAAAUCCUGGCAAAUUAAGUGUCAGACUUCCAAAAAUAACAGGCUGACGCUAGGCCUUUGCCAUUACCCCAAAUUCCAUCCCGUGCUAUUCCUGGCGGGCAAGCUGCAGGGUGAGGGUACUCGGAAAUGAAAAUGUGGCCUGGUUCCUCCCCAAAAUAAACCUGACGUCAUCUGAACCCCCAGCAGGUGGGUUCGCUGCCUGGUUGGUUAUCGGAGGUCACGGAGACUCAGAGCUGUGUGUUUGGGGUAGUCUGGAAUGCCAUUAAAUGAAAGGGAUGUGAGCAGAGCUGGAGAGAAAUCCGUGUGACAGAGCACUUCCAAAGGCCAGGAAACGCGUUGGGUGGGAGAGGCUGCAGCCUGACGACACCUCCUGUACCAAACCCUUGGAACUACCCCUUUGCUCCCUUCCAUUUUUCCUAACAUAAGGAAGAACCGUGUUGGUACUGAAGCAGAAAGCAAAUCCUGUGUGUUUUCAAGUGCAGUUUAAUAGCUUCUCUUGGACAUAACUUUCCACUAGGAAUGAAGGAAACUCCUGCUCCAUUUGAGCCAUUUCUUUUACUUCGGUCAAUUCUAGUAUUACAAAUUGUGCAUGUAACUUUAUAAAUAUUUUAAAUAGUUUUGUAAAUAUUUAAUAUUCAGCUAAUUUGAUUUUGAAUUGUAAAUGUCAAGUAUUCUGGUAUUGGGAUUUUUAUGUUUUAUUAUACUUUGUUAAAAGUAAAAUUGUACAUUUUUAGAAUGUUUUUAUCUGAGUAAAUUUAAUGUAUGGAAAAUAAAGAGUUAAACAGAA